rnacentral:rRNA from 1 species
GGAUGCGAUCAUACCAGCACUAAAGCACCGGAUCCCAUCAGAACUCCGAAGUUAAGCGUGCUUGGGCGAGACUAGUACUAGGAUGGGUGACCUCCUGGGAAGUCCUCGUGUUGCACCCC